GAUGAACGCUGACAGAAUGCUUAACACAUGCAAGUCGAUGGGGAAGUGGUGCUUGCCCCAUGGUAACCAUGGCGGACGGGUGAGUAACGCGUAAGGAACUUACCUGCGGGACCGGGAUAACAGCAGGAAACUGCUGACAAGACCGGAUAAGGUCAUUAAGCUGCAUAGCUUAGUGAUGAAAGGAGACGCCUGCGGAGAGCCUUGCGUCCUAUUAGCUAGUUGGAGGGGUAACGGCCCACCAAGGCGAAGAUAGGUAGCCGGCCUGAGAGGGUGGACGGCCACAAGGGGACUGAGAGACGGCACUUACUACUACGGGAGGAAGCAGUGAGGAAUAUUGGACAAUGGGGGCAACCCUGAUCCAGCAAUUCUGUGUGCACGAAGACGGUUUUCGGAUUGUAAAGUGCUUUCAGCAGGGAAGAAGGAAGUGACGGUACCUGCAGAAGAAGCGACGGCUAAAUACGUG
rnacentral:rRNA from 1 species